CCCUUAGACACUCUAGGCGGCACGCGCGCUACAAUGGGUGGAAGAACGUGUCACUGCCUCCGAAAGGAGGGGUGAAUCACGAAUUCUUGCCCGUGAAUGGGAUAGUUUGUUGCAAUUUUCGGACUUGAACUAGGAAUCCCUUGUAAACAUGCUCAAGAAUAGCGUGUUGAAUACGUCCCUGCCGUUUGUACACACCGCCCGUCGUUUCUUCCGACUGAUACUCAUUGUGAGUUGCAAGGACCCUUUAUUGGGAAAUUGCUGCAAAUGCUUUGUAUUGGAGGAAGAAAAAGUCGUAACA
rnacentral:rRNA from 1 species